CUCCUUGUUAGGAAAUAUCUAAUCAGCUGUGAGCCAACCCGUCCAGGGCCCUGGGGUCAGCAGAAGCAGGGUGCGCUGUGGGUUGGGUUUCUGGCCGUGUGCUCUCUGGUGACUGGGCCAUCUGUUUUGGUUUCCUCUUUCAGCCAUCUUUCAAAUCAUUCAGAGCAUAAGGAUGGGCAUGUGAGGAGGCCGGGGCAUCUGAUGCUGCGCCCUCCCGCUGGAGGGUGGAGGACCACGGAGGCCUUUGGCGGGUAUCUGUGGGAAGCCAACAGGCCACGUGGAAUAGAGAAGAGGCUUCGCCACUGGUUCCCUGACCACUUCCGCCUGGAAGUCAGACCAAACUGCCUUCUCACAGAACAUCUCGGUGAAUCCGUGUCCUCCAGCGGAAAGGACAUUCUGCUUUUCUGUUGGCGGGAUUGGUAGCCACGCGGGUCGUCUGCAGCAUUGCUGUCUGUCUGGUCCCCCUUGGUUUCACUAAUGUGUGCAUGUGGCCCUCUGAAUGACCGCUGGUUUACUUUCUACCGAUGCAAUCUCUCCUCUGUCGGGAAAUGGUUUUACAAAUAAAUGUCUUCAUUCAACCUUAUGCCAUGUGUGGGUUUGCAGGGACAAAAGCCAAGGGGGGAAAAUAGCAGAAUAGCUUGAGGGGGGUUGGGGCAGGUGGGAGAACUCGGUGAUGCUACUGGAAAAGGCACAGGGAAUCUGUGGACCAGGAACCAGAUGUGGGAUUACCCAGCAGGUCCUUGGCCAGACCCUCAAAGUCCUUUGCCUGAAUGAAGCCCUGAAGGGCUCCAGCGACCUUGCAUCUUCCACACAUUUGACUUUCAUUCUUCUUUUCUAAUGAAUAUAUUUUUGUCUUGUUUUGCUUUUCCUCGUUCUUUUUUCUCAGUCCAGAAAAGGCCUCUAUGAUGCAUGUGAAGGUCUGAUUAGCCGUUAUCUUCUCUGUGGUCUGUCGCAGAGCACAGAACAGAUGUCACAGGCCUCCUGGUGAAAACUCUCCACCCCCAGGGCCCAGCUGUGGCAGAUUCAGAGUCCUGGACAGAACAGGAGCCCUGUAGCACUCUGGGUGGUCAGCAGGCAGGAUUGGGGGGCCCAGCGAGGGGC
rnacentral:lncRNA from 1 species